UCAGUCUCUUUAAUCGUUUUGACCAGGGAGGAUUGUAUGCAAAAGACGUGAUUCUUGUUUUUUUUCGGCCUCUAAUUUGAUAUUGGAUGUAAUAUGUUAAUUGGAAUGACGAGAUUGUUGAUGCUUUCGAUAUUCUUUCUGUUUUAUCGUCUGAAGAAUCUGAGAUUUCUUUGUGCCCAUUAUGAGUGGUUAAUGACUGCAGUCGAUGGUGUUUGUAUAAUGGUAGUGUUAGUUGAUGGAUUAUUGUUUUCGAACUUGAUGGUAGGAAAUGUCGUUUUUUUUAUCCAAUAAAGUAGAUGCUACAGUAAAAAAGUUUGUCUUUUUAUGAUCCUUUAAAGUGGGAAUAUUCUGAUUACAAUGUAUCAUUUCUCACGGCAACUUGAUUCAGCUCUGAGGUGAAAUUCAGGGACUUUGACUCUUUCCUUAGCAAAAUUGGACUCGCGGCUAUCCCCUUUUUUGCUUUACUUGAGUUCUGAUUUGGAGAUGAGAGCAAUUCUUAGGUCCAUCAAGCAAUUCAGAUCAGCUUCUCGGUACAGAGGAGAUACUAUCUCUAACGGAUUUCCAAAAAGACAGCAUUUUUGGGUCAAUACGAGUGGAAGGGCAGCCUACAGUCUACACCAAUAUGCAGAUAUUCGCAGAUGUUAUCAUCCAUCUUACCUGUUCUCUAGAGGUUUGCAUGCUGAUGCUGCAAGAGUAGCUAAUGGAGAAGUAGAUAGAGCAGGGCCCCUUGUAGAAUACGAGCGAAGAAUUGCCUCUGGUGAACUUGUCGAUGGAGAUAUUUGCCAGUUAGGCACUUUGAGAGAACUUCAAAGGCUCUACGACCAGUUGGUUCAAAAUGCUGAUGCUUGCCAACUUGAUCGGUAUGCGGCAUCUAAGAAAGCAGGAAGGAGUAGGUGGUUGUGGUCACGUUUCAUACCUCAGUCUUCUUAUUCACCAGUGAAAGGGCUUUAUCUUUAUGGAGGAGUUGGCACUGGAAAAACUAUGUUGAUGGACCUGUUUUUUGAGCAAUUGCCUUCCAGUUGGAGGAAGAAAAGAAUCCAUUUUCACGACUUCAUGCUGAACGUUCAUAGCCACUUGCAAAAGCACAAAGGUGUUGCAGAUCCCUUAGAAGUUGUUGCUGGAGAAGUAUCAGAUGAAUCAAUUCUGUUAUGUCUUGAUGAAUUCAUGGUUACUGAUGUUGCUGAUGCAUUGAUACUAAAUCGUUUAUUUAGGCAUCUGUUCUGUAAUGGGGCUGUCCUUGUUUCUACAUCAAACCGUGCUCCUGAUAAACUUUAUGAGGGUGGACUGCAAAGGGAUCUUUUUCUGCCAUUUAUAGAUAUACUAAAGGAAAGAUGCGUGGUUCAUGAAAUUGGGUCAUCAAUCGACUACCGUAAGAUGACUUCGGCACAGCAAGGCUUCUAUUUCGUGGGGAAGAACUUAUCAAGCCUAGUUAACCAGAAGUUUUUCCAGUUGAUUGGAGAAUAUAGAGCUGUUCCUCAAGAGGUGGAAGUAGUUAUGGGAAGGACAUUACGAGUUCCACUCGGUGCUAAUGGUUGUGCUUACUUCCCAUUCGAGGAACUCUGUGAUAGACCACUUGGUGCAGCAGAUUAUUUUGGAUUAUUCAAGAAAUUUCACACACUAGCUUUGGAAGGUGUGCCACGUCUUGGUCUCCACAACAGGACUGCGGCAUAUCGGUUAUGUAUGAGAAUAGAGCUAGACUGUUAUGUACAGCUGAUGCAACUCCUAUUCAACUUUUUGAAAAGAUAGUCACAAUUGCUGAUGCUCAGCAAAUUUCUCCAAGAACAUCUUCUAGAUCAAGGAAAAAUGACGAUUCUGACAUUUGUGUGGACAAUGAAUUGGGUUUUGCAAAAGAUCGCACCAUUAGCAGGUUGACAGAGAUGAACAGCAGGGAGUACUUAGAGCAGCAUGCUGCAAUGUUGGCACAAAAGCAGCAGUCAUAUGAAGAGUGCAGUAAAAAUGCUUUACAUCCUCAAUAGUACCAAGAAAUUUUUUCCAACAUUGUCCUAUCCUGGAACACGGCUGUUAUCUGUAAGAUGUAGAUAUUACAUCUUCUUGUUUAGAGAAAUUUGGGGUCGUUGUCCAUGGUUCCGGAGAUAGAAGUACAAUUUUCAGCCGAUAAUCACUAGUUGGAUUGUAAAAAAAUUAUUACCACAUUGUGAAUCCUGUAUUGAAAAGCUAUAGCUACAUUAUGUAUUUGAGAGAAGCAUUUGUUUUCAGACCCUGGAAUAAACGAGUAGCCUAUCAUCCUAUACUUUUUGCUCCCAAAAGGGGGAAAAAGGGAGAAAAAAAAACUGGGAUUCUAUG